AUGAAGGCUUCAUCUGUGUCUCUGCUGCUCGUGACUUCUGACCUUCAGUGACCCCUGACCUUCAGUGACCCCUGACCUUCAGUGACCCCUGUCUUCCUGUUGCAGGUGUGUCUGUGCUGCUGCUGUCUGGACUGACUGAUUCUGCAGUCUCUCUGGAUGUCCGUCCAAACCGUCCUCAGUUCUUCACAGAAGAGUCGGUCUCUCUGAGUUGUGUUGAAGAUGGACAAACAGUUGAUGGAUGGACGGUGAAGAGGAGAGCAGGGGGACACAAUGAGAACUUUGGGAGGUUUGAUGGUUCCUCCUGUAUCGUCUCAAAUCUCUCCCAAUCAGACACUGGAGUUUACUGGUGUGAAACCAGUUCUGGACAGACGAGUGACCAGAUCAACAUCACUGUGACUCAUACAAA